GCGGGCGCGUGCCUCCUCGCUCGUGCUCCCUCCCUCGCGGCCUCCGCCAGUCCGGGCUCCGGACCUGGGAGGCUGGGGCUGGCGGCCGGAGCCAGGAACGAGCCCUGCCGUAAUGUUCCUUAGAGGCGCGCAACGAGAAACCGCUCCUCCCCCAGCGCGUCAAUCCCGGCGGGAACCCCGGCUGCGGAAGGCGGCUGCGGCCGGCGGGAGCCGAGGGGAAGAAUGGAGCGCUGAGGAAGCGAGGCGCCAGCCCCAGCCGCUUCGCUGCCGCGGAGCCUGCACGACCGAGAGGUCGCGGAGAGAAGCCAGAGACAGGCCAGCGACCUGGCGAGAAAUUGACAAGAUUAUUCUAAACUCCAUAAGGAAAUGCAAGAGACCCAGAAGAGCCAAACAGUGUUGAAAAAGAAGAAAGUUGGAGAACUCACAUUUUCCAAUUUCAAAACCUACCGCAAAGUUAUAGUAGUCAAGACAGUAUUGUGCUGGCAUAAGGAUAGACAUAUAUAUCAACAGAAUAGAAUUGCAGGUUCAGAAAUACAUCCAUAACUUAUGGGCAACUGAUAUUCAACAAACAUGCCAAUACAAUUUAGUGGGGCAAAAAUAAUCUUUCCGACAAAUGACACUAGGACAACUGAAUAUCCACUUGCACAAGAAUGAACUCUUAACCUCAUAGCAUAUACCAUCGGAACUCAAAAUGGAUCAUAGACCUAAUUAUAAGAGCUAAAACUAUACUUUUUUAUCUUUCUACCUUGUCUAAAUAUACUUUUAUAAUAACAAAUUGGGAAAUAUGGUUAAACUUAUGGUUUUCUGUUAUUGAAUGUCAUCAAAUUGAUGAAUAACAAAUUGAUUGAAUAUCAAAGUUGAUUGAGCUUAAUUAAGUAUUAUUGUGUAUGUCUGUGUAUCCUGUUGAUAGACUGGCAAUAUUUGGGCAAGUAAUAAAAGAAAGACAUACAUAAUUUAUAAAUUAUUGCAUACUAUAUUAGUUUGCUAGGGCUGCUAUAACAAAGUACCACCAACUGAGUGGCUUAAACAACAGAAAUUUGUUAUCUCACAAUUUUAGAGACCGGAGGUCCACGAUCAAAGCAUUGACAAGGCCAUGCUCCCUCUGAAGGAGCUAGAAAAGAUCUGUCUCAUGCUCCUACUGGAAAGUAUAAUUCCAAUCGUCACCUAGAGUUAUCCCUUCAUGUUUGUCUCUGUGUUCAAAUUUCCCGUUUUAAUAAGGACACCAGUCAUAUAGGAUUCACAGUUCACCCUACUCUGGUAUUAUCUCACUUUACCUUAACUAAUCAUAUCUGCAAUGAUUCUAUUUCCAAAUAAGGUCAUAUUCUGAGUUACUGGGGUUUAGGAUUUCAACCUGUAAAUUUUAGGAGCAGGGGACACAAUUCAACUCAUCACACAUGCUUAUUCCAUGAGAUUAGUUUUCUUCCCUUAAUUUCAACAAAAUAACUAAAUGUGUUUUUAUAAUCAAUAUUUUUACAUAAAUUGUAUUUUAUUGUAAAAUGGCCUGAGGAAUUAAAAAAUAAAAAAGUAUAAGGUCAUAAAAUUUGCAUAAAUUUUAUAAAAAUAUAAGUUAAAAUAAAUGUAAAAUUUAACAAUUAUUUUUAUAUUUUAAAAAGUUA
rnacentral:lncRNA from 10 species